UGGGGAAUAUUGGACAAUGGGGGCAACCCUGAUCCAGCAAUGCCGCGUGUGUGAAGAAGGCCUGCGGGUUGUAAAGCACUUUUGGCAGGGAUGAAAAGCACUGGAUUAAUAACCCAGUGUGUUGACCUAACCUGCAGAAGAAGCACCGGCUAACUCUGUGCCAGCAGCCGCGGUAAUACAGGGGGUGCGAGCGUUAAUCGGAAUUACUGGGCGUAAAGCGUGCGCAGGCGGUUUGGUAAGACAGAUGUGAAAUCCCCGGGCUUAACCUGGGAACUGCCUCUGAUACUGGCUGUCUAGAGUUCGAGAGAGGUGAGUGGAAUUCCUAGUGUAGAGGUGAAAUUCGUAGAUAUUAGGAAGAACACCGGUGGCGAAGGCGGCUCACUGGCUCGAUACUGACACUGAGGUGCGAAAGCGUGGGGAGCAAACAGGAUUAGAUACCCUUGUAGUCCCUGAGCGGGCUGGCAAGGCGCAU
rnacentral:rRNA from 1 species